rnacentral:snRNA from 1 species
GGAUGUGAAGGCGAUCCUGCUGCCAUCUCUGUCACCCCACUGACUGCCUGGGUGGAUUGGCUGAUCUGGCUUGGCUGGGCCAGUGCCCUUCCUCCUUCACCGCUCCACGUGUGUCCCUCCCGAAGCUGCUCACUCCACUCGGCCAAAGCGGACAACCACCCCCGAGAGAGGAGGACAUGUCCUCAGUCAAGGUUAUAGGAGUAGCUGUGCUGCCCGGCUAGAACCUCCAAACAAGCUCUCAAGAAGGAAAUGGAUUUCAGCCUCAGACAAACAUGCCGAAGAGAGAAGGAUCAUCACCAGUUAGUCCAGAGAGGCCAAGAAAGAUAGAAUGAAACUGAUCCCCUUU